GUUUGUUACAAGGAAAUACAGACAUAGGCCUACUCUACACGAACGUGCAACCAACUGAAGCCAACAGUGUGUACCUAGAGCAGCUGCAUUGUGCGAAAAUACCAAAAGGUACUGAGGUGACCGAGGCUAUGAGGGCACUACCUCCCGGUAGUGAUGAGGUCGUUGCUUUGGCUGUGACGGAGGAGCUGUCUACUGAGGUGACUCCCUUCGCUAGCCAGGACCCCGUCCGCCCUGUUGUAGAUGUUGCGGUAAUCCCAGAGGAUACGCCCGCCGCUGACGUCGAAGGUAUUGGGGAAGGGGCUCCUCAGGGUGGCCAUCCUGUGGAGCAUGAGGUGGGUCCUGUACCCCAGGUGGAUCCUUUCCCUUUUGUACCUGAGGUAGAGGUGCCUCUCCCACCUCUUUUUGUCCCAGAGGUAGAGGUGCCCGAUCCUUUUGUGCCACAGGUAUCCCAGGUAUUCCCAGGGAACACCAGAGACAGGGAGUCUCUGGGAGGGGUGGUUCAGGGAUUAGAGGUUAAUCCUGAGGGUAGGCCAGAGUUAGAUGUACAGGUUUUUGUCCCACGCAGGUCAACUAGGCCCCGUCGACCUCAUGUGCCUAUGCAGAUUAUUUGGGGCAGGGGGGUUAAGUCCUAUGAUUAGCCAAUGGCCUCACACCUCCUCCCUUCUUGUGGUUGAGGAGAACAUGACAGAAAUAAGGGUGUUUAGUAUACUUUAACAUUAAGCUACUUCAUCAUCAUACAUUAUCAUCAUCUGUUCAUCAUCAUCCAUUCAUCAUUAUAAUCAUUCAUUCAUCAUUAUCAUCUGUUCAUCAUCAUCAUCAUCAUCAUCCAAUCUUCAUUAUCAUCAUCCAUUCAUCAUUAUCAUCCAAUCUUCAUCAUCAUCAUCCAUUUAUCAUCAUCUACUCAUUAUCAUCAUCAUCUAUCCAGCGUCAUCAUCUGUUCAUCAUUAUCAUCAUCCAUUCAUCCUCAUCCAUUCAUCAUCAUCUCUAUUCAUCAUCAUCAUCGUCUAUCAUCAUCAUCAUCUAGUCAUCAUCUCAUCGUCAUCAUCAUCUAUUCAUCACCAUCAUCUCUAUUCAUCAUCAUCUUCUCUAUCUAUCUAUCAUCAUCUGUUUAGUCAUCAGUACUUGAUUUUUCUACAGACACUUGUUGGUUAGUCCCAAUCCCCCCUCCCCUCCUCUGCCCCAUGCCAUUUGUCAGCAUCAAGAUUUAGAACAUGAUCAAAGAUGUACUCUUAUUUUCUAUCAUGUUCUGCGUUGGUUGAGUAGGUUUAUGUGAUGGUAUGUUUGCAUUUUUCUGGUCAUGGCUGCUAUUUCCUUGCCGUUGGGGGCUGUCUGUUUUCUCUUAAAAGAGAAAUUAGAUUGACGGGAAGUGAAUCUGUGGCCAUGACAAAGAAACAUGCCUACAGGCCAACACCUUAGCCUGCUCAGCUCUUACAGAACAUGACUGAAGAUGACAGCUCGUCUCUGAUAACCAAAUACUACUACUGAUAAUAAUAAAUUUGAAUAUAGCAUGUUUUAUAAUCACAACCAUUUCUCAGUUUAUUUUAAAAGACUAAAAGUUUGCUGAUAGUUGUCAGGGUCUUAGAAGGGGAGUUGGGCAAACCCACUGGUGAAUGUGGAUUUUCCAAGGAAACUGGCAUCACUGCUUAUCAUUCAUGUCCAUCAAUCAUCAUCAUCCAGUCUUCAUCAUCAUCAUCCAUUUAUCAUCAUCUACUCAUUAUCAUCAUCCAUUCAUCCUCAUCCAUUCAUCAUCAUCUUCUUAUCAUCAUCAUUAUCAUUAUCUCUAUUCAUCAUCAUCAUCAUCUAGUCAUCAUCUGUUCAUCGUCUAGUCAUCUCCAUCAUCAUCUUCUCUAUUCAUCAUCAUCUUCAUCAUCUAGUCAUCAUCUAUUCAUCAUCAUCAUCAUCUAGUCAUCACCAUCAUCUCUAUUCAUCAUCAUCUUCUCUAUUCAUCAUCAUCAUCUGUUUAGUCAUCAGUACUUGACUUUUCUGCAGAAACUUGUUGGUUAGUCCCAAUCCCCCCUCCCCUCCUCCGCCCCAUGCCAUUUGUCAGCAGUUUAAAAAACUAAACCUGAUAGUUGUCAGGGUCUUAGGAGGGGAGUUGGGCAAACCCACCGGUGUAUGUGGAUUUUCCAAGGAAACAGAAUUGGCUUCAAUGCUUAUCACUCAUCUCCAUAAAUCAUUUGUCAUUAUCAAAUCCAUUUAUCUUCAUCUGUCCAUUUAAUUAUUAUCAUGUAUUCAGUCAUCUCUAUCAUCAUUCUCAUCAUUAUUCAUUACAAACAUAAUUCAUCAUCAUUUUAAGUCAUCAUCAUCACCAUCAUCAGUCAUUUUCAUCAUCAUCCUCCUCCACUUCCUUCUCCUCCUCCUCCUCAUCUUCAUCUAUUUUUAUCAUCAUUCUUAUCAUCAUUACUCAUCAUCAUUAUCAUCAAACAUUAUCAUAUCUAUCUGUAAAUCAUGCCCAAACUACAUUUAUUCAAGGUGUUAAAUGUAUACCAAACAGUCAGAUUUCUUGCCAGUUCUUUGAAACCAUUUCUUAGUUAAGUGGUGUGAUUGUUGUUGUAUGUGUAUGUUGUUUGUGUAUGUGGAGUUAUAUGUUACCAGUAACACUAUGUGUACUAUAAAUACUUAAAACAAUACUAAAUUAGCCAAGGAGGCUUUAAUAAUGGCAAACAUUGCAUGCAGUACUGGAUUUUCCCAGGACCCAUCAAUUUCCAGGACCCUGCAAAAUUAGUAUUUAUGGUAACUAUCUUCUAUGCACGGUACUGGUUUUUUUCCAGGAAGUGAAAAGAAGAAUGUGUGAAAAGUCAUGUGUGCUUGUUUUGUAUGAUAGUGUGUGUGUGGUGUGAUUGUUGUUGUUGUAUGUGUAUGUUGUUUGUGUAUGUGGAGUUUGAAAGCUUGUGUUAUAUGUUACCAGUAACAGUAUGUGUACUAUAAAUACUUAAGACAAUACUAAAUUAGCCAAGGAGGCUUUGUUGAUAAUGGCAAACAUUGCAUGUAGUACUGGAUUUUCCCAGGACCCAUCAAUUUCCAGGACCCUGCAAAACUAGUAUUUAUGGUAACUAUCUUCUUUGCAUGGUACUGGUUUUUUUCCAGGAGUGAAAAGAAGAAUGUAUGAAAAGUCAUGUGUGAUUGUUUUGUCUGAUAGUGUGUGUGGUGUGAUUGUUGUUGUCUUAUGUUUAUGUUGUUUGUGUAUGUGGAGUUUGAAAGCUUGUGUUAUAUGUUACCAGUAACACUAUGUGUACUAUAAAUACUUAAGACAAUACUAAAUUAGCCAAGGAGGCUUUGUUAAUAAUGGCAAACAUUGCAUGUAGUACUGGAUUUUCCCAGGACCCAUCAAUUUCCAGGACCCUGCAAAACUAGUAUUUAUGGUAACUAUCUUCUUUGCACGGUACUGGUUUUUUUCCAGGAGUGAAAAGAAUAAUGUGUGAAAAGUCGUGUGUGCUUAUUUUGUAUGUAAGUGUGUGUAGUGUGAUUGUUGUUUUUACAAAAAAUACAAAAAAUACAAAAAAAAAAAAAAAAACAAAAAACUAAAAAAAAAUAAAAAAAAAAAAAAAAUAAAAAAAAAAAAAUAAAAAAAGUGCAUGUUCUUGUUUGUAGUAUUUAAUGUAAUAUUUAUUGUGACCAUUGCAGGCUGCAAGAAAGAGCAUCAUAAUGCAGUUAACUGAAUUCUGUUAUGAAGCAGGAAAGGGAUAUCAAACAACAGUGGACAAGAUUUUAUUAUGAAGCAAAAAAAGGAACAUCAGAGUGCAGUGGAUGAGAUUUUUUUAACAAGGAAGAAAGGAAGGAAUAUAAACAUGCAGUGGACUGGAAUUAAUUAUGAAUCAGAAAAGGAACAUCAAAGUGCAGUUAAUGCAAUUUUAUUAUGAAAUGCAAGGAAGGGACAUCAAAGUGCAAUGGACUGGAGGCUACUGGGGAGAAGAUGUUGCUUCAAAAGAUUGGCAGAGUUGCUUUUUGCAGUAGAGGAAUAUCAAAGUGCAAUCAACUGGGUUUAACAUAAGGCAAGGAAGGAUUAUCAAAGUGUUAUGAAUUAAACUGUUUCAGGACAGGAAUAAACAACAUCAAAUUCAAAUUGACUGGAUUUUCUUGGGAAGGAUAGAAAGAACAUGAGGAAGGAACAUAAAAGUGCAAUUGAUUCAGUUUUAUUAUGGAGAAAGGAAGAAACGUCAAAGUGCAAUCGACUUGGAUUUUAUUUAAGUGCAGUGGACAGACUGGAUUUUCUCAGAGUGAAGAGAGGAUAUCUUGAUGUUAAUGUGACCCAUAAAAGUGACUAUAUUCAUUUGUAGUGUUAAAAGUGAAAAAAUAACAUAAAAAUGUUUAUCAUUGGAAUUGAUACUUUUUGUGGGGGUGGGAAUCUCUGUCCUUUGUAUACCAUUUCUUCCCAUUCAUCCUAUCUUAUUUUAUCCUGACCCUGCCCAUCCCAUCCCUGAUUGGUUACCCAGAUAUGAUUGUACAUAUAAUAUAGCAUAUAUUUGAAUUGAAAUAUAGAUGUAGAGCAUGGCCACGAAACAAACAAGAGAAAAGAUGUGUAUAAAUCAAUUUAAUAUGAAAUAUGUUGGUGUGAAAUCAUGUCUUAUUCAUGCAAUUGACACUUUCUAUAUUCACACUAUAUGAAGUAGUAAAAGUACACUUCUUUAUAAGCAAAUGUAUGUAUAUGAUAAAAAAGGUCGAAAACUUGAAUUUUUUCGAGACAUUCAUAAUAUUAUUAUUAUGGAUAGAGUCUAUUAUGUGAAGUGGAAUAAUUAUUAAAUCUGGAACCACGCUUGUACAGUUUUUUUUGGAAGUUACACUCUCGCGAUAUUUUGAAAAGAAUUUUUUAAAGGUAAUUAUAUUUUUCUCUUUGUUACAUAUUUUCUGAAUUACAAGAGUAAUUUAUAUUUCUUGUUGCCAUGCUUAUUUACAGUACUUAUACCAGUUCAUUUUCAUUCAGUUUGAGCUGCAAGGUGAAGCAGGAAAAUGGUGUCAAGUGUCAAGGCAAGCCAAAGAUGCAGUCCUGGAUUUUCCUUGGAAAAGUAUGAAGAAUGUCUGUGAAAAAAGUGACUGUGUUCAUUUGCAGUGUUUAAAGUGAAGAAAGAACAAAAAAGUUUAAGACAGCAAAAGAAGACCAUCGAACUUAAAUAGAUUAUAUCACUUUGUAUGAAGAGCAUUAUUAUGCAGUGAACUGGAAUUUAUUAUGAAGCAAGAAAGGGACAUCAAAAUGCAGUGGACAGGAAUUUAUUAUGAAUCAAGAAACGAAUAUAAAAGUGCAGAGGACUGGAUUGAAUUAUGACACAAGAAAGGAACAUCAAAGUACAGUGAAUGGAAUUUUAUUAUGAAGAAAGAAAGAGACAUCAAAGUGCAAUGGACUGGAGACUACUUGGGAGAAGAUGUUGCUUUAAAGGAUUGGCAGAGUUGCUUUUUGCUACAGGUGCAAAGCCCUGACAGAUUCCUUUACUAUUGAUUAAGACAUGCUAAUGUUGCCUUCGAGGACAAUCCGGUGUCUAUAUGUCCGCUAGAUUGUGGCGUUUUUUGGAGCGACUGGUCUGCAACAUUGUGCCGGCAAUGUUAUGAUGAUGGUUGUUCCUCUCUGUUUUGAGAGAUGGAAUCGGGGAUUGUGAGGAUUUGCAUUUCUUCCAUAUCAACAGACUGCCAAUGACAACUGACUUUAUCUCCCGUUCAUGUACAGUCAGCGAUUGAUUUGACUAUUAUGAAACAGUAGAGGAAUAUCAAAGUGCAAUUAACUGGAUUUAACAUAAAGCAACAACAACAACAAACAACAACAACAUUUAUUAGCAUAAUCGACAUAUAUAUGCCUUUGGCUAAUGAACAGUAUACAGUUCUUUCAAAGCAUUGUGCCGGCAAUGUUAAGAUGAUGGUUGUUCCUCUCUGUUUUGAAAGAUGGAAUCAGGGAUUGUGAGGAUUUGCAUAUCUUCCAUAUCAACAGACUGCCAAUGACAACUGACUUUAUGUCCUGUUCAUAUGUACAGUCGGCGAUCAUGUUGACUUUAUUAUGAAUCAGUAGAGGAAUAUCAAAGUGCAAUUAACUGGAUUUAACAUAAAGCAAGGAAGGAUUAUCAAAGUGUUAUGAAUUAAAUUGUUUCAGGACAGGAAGAAACAACAUCCAAUUCUAAUUGAUUGGAUUUUCUCAGGAAGAAAAGAAAGAACAUGAGGAAGGAACAUAAAAGUGCAAUUAAAUUCAAUUUUGUUAUGGAGCAAGGAAGAAACAUCAAAGUGCAAUCGACUUGGAUUUUAUUUAAGUGCAGUGGAUAGACUGGAUUUUCUCAGAGUGAAGAGAGGAUAUCUUAAUGUUAAUGUGACCCAUAAAAGUGACUGUAUUCAUUUGUAGUGUUAAAAGUGAAAAAAUAACAUAAAAAUGUUAAUCAUUGGAAUUGAUACUUUUUGUGGGGGUGGGAAUCUCUGUCCUGUGUAUACCAUUUCUUCCCAUUCAUCCUAUCUUAUUUCAUCCUGACCCUGCCCAUCCCAUCCCUGAUUGGUUACCCAGAUAUGAUUGUACAUAUAAUAAAUAUAGCAUAUAUUUGAAUUAAAAUAUAAAUGUAGAGCAUGGCCACGAAAUAAACAGAGAAAAGAUGUGUAUAAAUCAAUUUAAUAUGAAAUAUGUUGGUGUGAAAUCAUGUCUUAUUCAUGCAAUUGACACUUUCUAUAUUCACACUAUAUGAAGUGGUAAAAGUACACUUCUUAUAAGCAAAUGUAUGUAUAUGAUAAAAAAGGUCGAAAACUUGAAUUUUUCGAGACAUUCAUAAUAUUAUUAUUAUGGAUAGAGUCUAUUAUGUGAAGUGGAAUAAUUAUUAAAUCUGGAACCACGCUUGUACAGUUUUUUUUCGGAAGUUACACUCUCGCGAUAUUUUGAAAAGAAUUUUUUUAAAGGUAAUUAUGUUUUUCUCUUUCUUACAUAUUUGCUGAAUUACAAGAGUAAUUUAUAUUUCUUGUUGCCAUGCUUAUUUACAGUACUUAUACCAGUCCAUUUUCAUUCAGUUUGAGCUGCAAGGUGAAGCAGGAAAAUGGUGUCAAGUUUGAAGGCAAGCCAAAGAUGCAGUCCUGGAUUUUCCUUGGGAAAAGUAUAAAGAAUAUCUGUGAAAAAAGUGACUGUGUUCAUUUGCAGUGUUUAAAGUGAAAAAAUAACAUAAAAAUGUUAAUCAUUGGAAUGGAUACUUUUUGUGGGGGUGAGAAUCUCUGUCCUGUGUAUACCAUUUCUUCCCAUUCAUCCUAUCUUAUUUCAUCCUGACCCUGCCCAUCCCAUCCCUGAUUGGUUACCCAGAUAUGAUUGUACAUAUAAUAAAUAUAGCAUAUAUUUGAAUUAAAAUAUAAAUUUAGAGCAUGGCCACGAAAUAAACAGAGAAAAGAUGUGUAUAAAUCAAUUUAAUAUGAAAUAUGUUGGUGUGAAAUCAUGUCUUAUUCAUGCAAUUGACACUUUCUAUAUUCAAACUAUAUGAAGUGGUAUAAAUACACUUCUUUAUAAGCAAAUGUAUGUAUAUGAUAAAAAGGUCGUAAACUUGAAUUUUUCGAGACAUUCAUAAUAUUAUUAUUAUGGAUAGAGUCUAUUAUGUGAAGUGGAAUAAUUAUUAAAUCUGGAACCACGCUUGUACAGUUUUUUUCGGAAGUUACACUCUCGCGAUAUUUUGAAAAGAAUUUUUUAAAGGUAAUUAAGUUUUUCUCUUUGUUACAUAUUUGCUGAAUUACAAGAGUAAUUUAUAUUUCUUGUUGCCAUGCUUAUUUACAGUAUUUAUACAAGUCCAUUUUCAUUCAGUUUGAGCUGCAAGGUGAAGCAGGAAAAUGGUGUCAAGUUUGAAGGCAAGCCAAAGAUGCAGUCCUGGAUUUUCCUUGGAAAAGUAUGAAGAAUGUCUGUGAAAAAAGUGACUGUGUUCAUUUGCAGUGUUUAAAGUGAAAAAAUAACAUAAAAAUGUUAAUCAUUGGAAUUGAUACUUUUUGUGGGGGUGGGAAUCUCUGUCCUGUGUAUACCAUUUCUUCCCAUUCAUCCUAUCUUAUUUCAUCCUGACCCUGCCCAUCCCAUCCCUGAUUGGUUACCCAGAUAUGAUUGUACAUAUAAUAAAUAUAGCAUAUAUUUGUAUUAAAAUAUAAAUGUAGAGCAUGGCCACGAAAUAAACAGAAAAGAUGUGUAUAAUUCAAUUUAAUAUGAAAUAUAUUGGUGUGAAAUCAUGUCUUAUUCGUGCAAUUGACACUUUCUAUAUUCACACUAUAUGAAGUUCAUGGUAAAAAUGCACUUCUUUAUAAGCAAAUGUAUGUAUAUGAUAAAAAAAGGUCGAAAACUUGAAUUUUUCGAGACAUUCAUAAUAUUGUUAUGGAUAGAGUCUAUUAUGUGAAGUGGAAUAAUUAUUAAAUCUGGAUCCACGCUUGUGCAGUUUUUUUCGGAAGUUACACUCGCGAUAUUUUGAAAAGUUUUUCUUAAAGGUAAUUAUGUUUUUCUCUUUGUUACAUAUUUUCUGAAUUACAAGAGUAAUUUAUAUUUCUUGUUGCCAUGCUUAUUUACAGUACUUAUACCUGUCCAUUUUCAUUCAGUUUGAGCUGCAAGGGGAAGCAGGAAAAUGAUGUCAAGUUUGAAGGCAAGCCAAAGAUGCAGUCCUGGAUUUUCCUUGGAAAAGUAUGAAGAAUGUCUGUGAAAAAAGUGACUGUGUACAUUUGCAGUGUUUAUAGUGAAGAAAGAACAAAAAAAGUUUAAGACAGCAAAAGAAGACCAUCAAUCUUAAAUAGAUAAUACCACUUUGUAUGAAAGAGUGCAUUAUUAUGCAGUGAAUUGGAAUUGAUUAUGAUGCAAAAAAGGGACAUCAAAGUGCAGAGGACUGGAUUGAAUUAUGACACAAGAAAGGAAUAUCGAAGUACAGUGAAUGGAAUUUUAUUAUGAAGAAAGGAAGAGACAUCAAAGUGCAAUGGACUAGAGACUACUUGGGAGAAGAUGUUGCUUCAAAAGAUUGGCAGAGUUGCUUUUUGCUACAGGUGCAAAGCCCUGACAGAUUCCUUUACUAUUGAUUGAGACAUGCUAACGUUGCCUUCGAGGACAAUCCGGUGUCUAUAUGUCCGCUAGAUUGUGGCGUUUUUUGGAGCGACUGGUCUAAAGCAUUGUGCCGGCAAUGUUAAGAUGAUGGUUGUUCCUCUCUGUUUUGAAAGAUGGAAUCAGGGAUUGUGAGGAUUUGCAUUUCUUCCAUAUCAACAGACUGCCAAUGACAACUGACUUUAUGUCCUGUUCAUAUGUACAGUCGGCGAUCAUGUUGACUUUAUUAUGAAUCAGUAGAGGAAUAUCAAAGUGCAAUUAACUGGAUUUAACAUAAAGCAAGGAAGGAUUAUCAAAAUGUUAUGAAUUAAAUUGUUUCAGGACAGGAAGAAACAACAUCCAAUUCUAAUUGAUUGGAUUUUCUCAGGAAGAAAAGAAAGAACAUGAGGAAGGAACAUAAAAGUGCAAUUAAAUUCAAUUUUGUUAUGGAGCAAGGAAGAAACAUCAAAGUGCAAUCGACUUGGAUUUUAUUUAAGUGCAGUGGAUAGACUGGAUUUUCUCAGAGUGAAGAGAGGAUAUCUUAAUGUUAAUGUGACCCAUAAAAGUGACUGUAUUCAGUUGUAGUGUUAAAAGUGAAAAAAUAACAUAAAAAUGUUAAUCAUUGGAAUUGAUACUUUUUGUGGGGGUGGGAAUCUCUGUCCUUUGUAUACCAUUUUUUCCCAUUCAUCCUAUCUUAUUUCAUCCUGACCCUGCCCAUCCCAUUCCUGAUUGGUUACCCAGGUAUGAUUGUAUAAAUAAUACAUAAUAUAGCAUACUUGAAAUAAAAUAUUAAUGUGGAGCAUGGCCACAAAAUAAAGGAAAGAUGUGUAUAAAUCAAUUUAAUAUGAAAUACGUUAGUGUGAAAUCAUGUCUUAUUCAUCCAAUUGACACUUUCUAUAGUCACACAUUAUAUAAAGUGUUAAUAGUACACUUCUUUAUAAGUAGAUAUAUGUAUAUGAUAGAAAAGGUUGAAAACACCUAUUUUUCAAGACAUAAUUUUAUUAUGGAUAGAAAGUAUUAUCUGAAGUGGAAUAAUUAUUAAAUCUGGAACCACACUUGUACCAGUUUUCAGAAGUUACACUCCAAUGAUAUUUUGAAAAGUCUGGAAAAAGAAUUGUUUGAAAGGUAAUAUGUUUUCUGCUUGGUACAUAUAUGCAGAAUUACAGGAGUAAUUUAUAUUUGUUGUUGCCAUGCUUAUUUACAGUACUUAUACCAGUCCAUUUUUUUUUUCAGUUUGAGCUGCAAGUUGAAGCAGGAAAAUGGUGUCAAGUGUCAAGGCAAGCCAAAGAAGCAGUACUGAAUUUUCCCCAAAAAAGUAUGAAGAAUGUCUGUGAAUAAAGUGACUUUGUUCAUUUGUAGUAUUUAAAGUGAAGAAAGAACAUCAAAAUUUUAAUCAUUGGAAUUGAUACUUUUUGUGGGGGUGGGAAACUGUCUCCUUUGUAGUCCAGUUCCUUCCCAUCAGUCCUAACCCCAUUUCAUCUUGAACCGGCCCAUCCCUUCCUGAUUUGUAAUCCAGAUAUGAAUGUACAAAUAAUAUAUAUCAUAUUUGAAUUAAAAUGUUAAUAUAGAGCAUGGCCACAAAAUAAGCAGAGAGAUAUAUAUAGAUGAAUUUAAUAUAAAAUAUGUUUGUAUGAAAAUAUGUCUUACGCAUGGAAUUGACACAUACAAUAGUAACACUUUAUAAGAAUUGAUAAAAGUACACUUCCUUGUAAGUAAAUAUAUGUAUAUGAUAGAAAAGGUUGAAAACAUGAGUUUUUGGAGAUGAUGGAUUCAGUCUAUUAUCUUAUAUGAUAAUAGAGAAAAGUGGAAACUUCACAGGUCGCUCAACACGACAAAAACGAAUAUGUUGCAGGCUAGGUUUGAUUUAGCCUGUUCAUGGCUGUAGUGAAAAUGCAUGCUACCGUCCACGCCCUCUAGCCCCGGGUUGAGCAGAACUCAACAUUUACACAUGCUAAAAGUACAAAAAGCAAUAAUUAUUGAAUCUGCAACCACUCUUGUAGAGUAUGGGAACAAAUAAGCAGAGAAUGGAUUUGUAUAAAUGAAUUCAAUAUGAAAUAAUUGUUCAUGUGAAAAUAUGUCUUAUUAAUGCAAUGAAAAUUUGCUAUAGUUAAACCUGAUUAGAAGUGGUAAAAGUACAUUUCUUUGUAGAAAUGUAUAUAUGAUAGAAAAGGUCAGUUAAUAAGACUGCCAAUGACAACUGACUUUAUGUCCCGUUCAUAUGUAUAGUCAGUGAUUGAUUGGACUUUAUUAUGAAGCAGAAAAGGAAUAUAAAGGUGCAAUAGAAAGGAUUUAAUAUGAAGCAAGGAAAGAUAAUCUAAAUUUUAUAAAAAGUGACAUAAUUAAAAUGUCAAUUAUUUGAAUUGAUACUUUUUUGGGGGUGGGAAUCUGUCCUGUCUAUACCAUUUAUUCUAAUUCGUCCUAUCCAAUUCCAACUUGACCCUGCCCAUCCCAUUUCUGAUUGGUUACCCAGAUAUGAUUGUAUAAAUAAUACAUAAUAUAGCAUACUUUAAUUAAAAUAUUAAUGUGGAGCAAGGCCAAAGAAUAAGCAGAGAAAAAAUGUGUAUAAAUCAAUUUAAUAUGAAAUAUGUUAGUGUGAAAUCAUGUCUUAAUUAUCUGAAGUGGAAUAGUUAUUCAAUCUGGAACCAUACUUGUACAGUUUUCAGAAGUUAUGCUCCAAUGAUAUUUUGAAAAGUCUGGAAAAAGAAUUGUGUGAAAGGUAAUAUGUUUUCUGCUUGGUACAUAUAUGCAGAAUUACAGGAGUAAUUUAUAUUUGUUGUUGCCAUGCUUAUUUACAAUACUUAUACCACUCCAUUUUUCUUCAGUUUGAGCUGCAAGUUGAAGCAGGAAAAUGGUGUCAAGUGUCAAGGCAAGCCAAAGAAGCAGUACUGGAUUUUCCCCAGAAAAUUUGAGCUGCAAGUUGAAGCAGGAAAAUGGUGUCAAGUGUCAAGGCAAGCCAAAGAAGCAGUACUGGAUUUUCCCCAGAAAAGUAUGAAGAAUGUUUGUGAAAAAAGUGACUGUGUUCAUUUGUAGUAUUUAAAGUGAAGAAAGAACAUAAAAAUUUUAAUCAUUAGAAUUGAUACUUUUUGUGGGGGUGGGAACCUGUGCCCUUUGUAGUCCAGUUCCUUCCCAUCAGUCCUAACCCCAUUUCAUCUUGCCCCGUCCCAUCCCAUUCCUGAUUUGUAAUCCAGAUUUGAAUGUAGAAAUAAUAUAUAUCAUAUUUGAAUUAAAAUAUUAAUAUGGAGCAUGGCCACAAAAUAAACAAAGGAAAGAUGUGUAUAAAUCAGUUUAAUAUGAAAUAUGUUAGUGUGAAAUCAUGUCUUAUUCAUCCAAUUGACACUUUCUAUAGUCACACAUUAUAUAAAGUGUUAAUAGUACACUUCUUUAUAAGUAGAUAUAAGUAUAUGAUAGAAAAGGUUGAAAACACCUAUUUUUCAAGACAUUCACAAUUUUAUUAUGGAUAGAAACUAUUAUCUGAAGUGGAAUAAUUAUUAAAUCUGGAACCAUACUUGUACAGUUUUCAGAAGUUACACUCCAAUGAUAUUUUGAAAAGUCUGGAAAAAGAAUUGUUUGAAAGGUAAUAUGUUUUCGGCUUGGUUCAUAUAUGCAGAAUUACAGGAGUAAUUUAUAUUUGUUGUUGCCAUGAUUAUUUACAGUACUUAUACCAGUCCAAUUUUUUUUUUCAGUUUGAGCUGCAAGUUGAAGCGGGAAAAUUGUGUCAAGUGUCAAGGCAAGCCAAAGAAGCAGUGCUGGAUUUUCCCCAGAAAAUUUGAGCUGCAAGUUGAAGCAGGAAAAUGGUGUCAAGUGUCAAGGCAAGCCAAAGAAGCAGUACUGGAUUUUCCCCAGAAAAGUAUGAAAAAUGUUUGUGAAAAAAGUGACUGUGUUCAUUUGUAGUAUUUAAAGUGAAGAAAGAACAUAAAAAUUUUAAUCAUUGGAAUUGAUACUUUUUGUGGGGGUGGGAAUCUGUGUCCUUUGUAGUCCAGUUCCUUCCCAUCAGUCCUAACCCCAUUUCAUCUUGACCCGGCCCAUCCCAUUCCUGAUUUGUAAUCCAGAUAUGAAUGUACAAAUAAUAUAUAUCAUAUUUGAAUUAAAAUAUUAAUAUAGAGCAUGGCCACAAAAUAAGCAGAGAGAUGUGUAUAGAUGAAUUUAAUAUGAAAUAUGUAUGAAAAAUGUCUUAUGCAUGCAAUUGACACAUACAUUUGUACAAUAGUAACACUUUAUAAGAAUUGAUAAAAAUACAAUUCUUUGUAAGUAAAUAUAUGUAUAUGAUAGAAAAGGUCGAAAACGUGAGUUUUUGGAGAUGUUUAUAAUAUUGUUACAGAUUCAGUCUAUUAUCUUAUAUGGAAUAAUUAUUGAAUCUGGAACCACUCUUGUGUAGAGUAUGGGAACAAAAUAAGCAGAGAAUGGAUUUGUAUAAAUGAAUUCAAUAUGAAAUAAUUGUUCAUGUGAAAAUAUGUCUUUCUUAUUAAUGCAAUGAACAUUUGCUAUAGUUAAACUUGAUUAGAAGUGGUAAAAGUACAUUUCUUUGUAAAAAUGUAUAUAUGAUAGAAAAGGUCAGUAGACUGCCAAUGACAACUGACUUUAUGUCCCAUUCAUAUGUAUAGUCAGUGAUUGAUUGGACUUCAUUAUGAAGCAGAAAAAUGAUAUUAAAGUGCCAUAGAAAGGAUUUAAUAUGAAGUAAGGAAAGAUCAUCUAAAUGUUAUAAAAAGUAACAUAAUUAAAAAUGUUAAUUAUUAUAAUUGAUACUUUUGUGGGGGUGGGAAUCUCUGUCCUGUCUAUACCAUUUAUUCCGAUUCAUCCUAUCCAAUUCCAACUUGACCCUGCCCAUCCCAUUUCUGAUUGGUUACCCAGAUAUGAUUGUAUAAAUACCGUAAUACAUAAUAUAGCAUACUUGAAUUAGAAUAUUAAUGUGGAGCAUGGCCAGAAAAUAAGCAGAGAAAAGAUGUGUAUAAAUCAAUUUAAUCUGAAAUAUGUUAGUGUGAAAUCAUGUCUUACUCAUCCAAUUGACACUUUCUAUAUUCACACCUUAUAUGAAGUGUUAAUAGUACACUUCUUUAUAAGUAUAUAUAUAUAUAUAUAUAUAUGUAUAUGUUAAAAAAGUUUGAAAACAUGAAUUUUUCGAGACAUUUUUAAUAUUAUUAUAAAUAGUUAAUUAUCUGAAGUGGAAUAGUUAUUCAAUCUGGAACCACACUUGUACAGUUUUCAGAAGUUACACUCCAACAAUAUUUUGAAAAGUCUGGAAAAAGAAUUGAAAGGUAAUAUGUUAUUCUACUUGGUACAUAUAUGCAGAAUUACAGAAGUAAUUUAUAUUUCUUGUUGCCAUGUUUACUUACAGUACAUAUACCAGUCCAUUUUUUUUCUUCAGUUUGAGCUGCAAGUUGAAGCAGGAAAAUGGUGUCAAGUGUCAAGGCAAGCCAAAGAAGCAGUACUGGAUUUUCCCCAGAAAAGUGUGAAGAAUGUGAAUAAAGUGACUGUGUUUAUUUGUAGUAUUUAAAGUGAAGAAAGAACAUAAAAAAUUUAAUCAUUGGAAUUGAUACUUUUUUGUUGGGGCGGGAAUCUGUGCCCUUUGUAGUCCAGUUCCUUCCCAUCAGUCCUAACCCCAUUUCAACUUGACCCGGCCCAUCCCAUUCCAGGUUUGUUAUCCAGAUAUGAAUGUACAAAUAAUAUAUAUCAUAUUUGAAUUAAAAUAUUAAUAUAGAGCAUGGCCACAAAAUAAGCAGAGAGAUGUAUAUAGAUGAAUUUAAUAUGAAAUAUGUUUGUAUGAAAAUAUGUCUUAUGCAUGCAAUUGACACAUACAAUAGUAACACUUUAUAAGAAUUGAUAAAAGUACACUUCUUUGUAAGUAAAUAUUAUGUAUAUGAUAGAAAAGGUUGAAAACAUGAGUUUUUGGAGAUGUUUGUAUUAUUGUUAUGGAUUCAGUCUAUUAUCUUAUAUGGACCAAUUAUUGAAUCUGGAACCACUCUUGUGUAGAGUAUGGGAACAAAAUAAGCAGAUAAUAGAUUGGUAUUAAUGAAUUCAGUAUGAAAUAAUUGUUCAUGUGAAAAUAUGUCUUAUUAAUGCAAUGAACAUUUAAUUUUGCUAUAUUUAAACUUGAUUAGAAGUGGUAAAAGUACAUUUCUUUGUAAAAAUGUAUAUAUGAUAGAAAAGUGCUAUAGAAAGGAUUUAAUAUGAAGUAAGGAAAGAUAUCUAAAUGUUAUAAAAAUGACAUAAUUAAAAACGAUAAUUAUUGGAAUUGAUACUUUUUGUGGGGGUGGGAAUCACUGUCCUGUCUAUUCCAGAUCCUGCCUAUUCAUCCUUUCUGAUUCCAUCCUGACCCUGCACAUCUCAUUCCUGAUAGGUUGUCAUGAUAUGUUUAUACAAAUAAUAUAUAAUAUAGCAUACUUGAAUUAAAAUAUUAAUGUAGAACAUAGUUGCAUUAAAAGCAGAGAAAAGAUGUGAAUAUUUUCGUGUGAAAAUAUGUCAUAUUCAUGUAGUUGACACUUUUUGACACUUUCUAUAGUCACACUUUAUAAGAAGUGGUAAAAGGAUACUUCUGUAUAAUGUAUAUAUGAUGUUUGUAGUGUUUAGAGUGAAGAAAGAACAUGAAAUGUUAAUAAUUGAAACUGAGGCUUUGUAGGGGAUGGGAACAUUGUCCAGUCUAUUCCAGUUCCUUCCCAUUCAUACCUGUCCUAAGCCAACCUGACCCGGUCCAUCCCAUUUCUGAUGGGUAAUUCAUGUAUGAUAGUACAAAUAAUAUAUAAUAUAGCAUAUUAGAAUUAAAAUAUUUAUGUUGAGCAUGGCCCAAAUAAAGGAAGAGAAAAUAUGUGUAUAAAUAGAAUAAUUAUGAAUAUGUUUUAUUCAUGCAAUUGACACUUACUAUGGUUACACUUUAUAAGAAGUGGUAAAAGUACACUUCUUUAUAAGUAUAUAUAUAUAUAUGUUUGAUAGAAAAGGUUAAAUACAUUUGUUUUUCAAGCUGUUUAUAUUAUUAUGGAAACAGUCUAUUACCUAAAGACAAAAAGACAAAUGAUUAUUAAAUCUGGAGCCACACUUGCAUGGGCAAAUGAAGGUUCAUGUACAGUUGUUGAAAAUUACAUUCUUGCUGUAUUUUGAGAAGUAUGGAAAAAGAAUUGUUUGAUAGGUAAAAUACUUUUCUGUGUUUCAGUCAUAUUUGCUGAAUUUGCUGACCAAUGUCAGCAUUUAGGACACGGCUGUGACUAAAUUUUUAAAAAAACAUACCCUAUGUUUAACAUGUACUAAAUACUACUUUUUAGAUUUGUGUGCUGUACUGUUUGGACGCAGGUGGAUUUUCCCUGGGAAAGAAUGAAGAAUGUUUUCAAGAAGAGACUGUAUCCAUUUGUAGUGUUUGAAGUGACAAAAGAAUAACAAAUUGGUACUUACUGGAAUUUAUAUUUUUUUGUGGAGUUGGGAAUCUCUGUCCUGUCUAUUCCUGUUCCUCCCCAUUCUGUCUUGUCCCAUCCUGACCUGGCCCAUCCAUUCCUGAUUGAUAAUCUAGAAGUGUUUGUAAAAAGAACAUGUUGCAUAUUUGAAUGGAAUUGUAUACUGAAGUAGUGUUUUAGAAUAUGGCCACAAAAUAUGCUGAAAUAAAGACAGUGUAUAAAAAAUAUUAAUAGGAAAUGUGUUAGUGUGAAAAUGUGUUUUAUUUAUGCUAUGGAUACUUAGUUUAGUUUAUUAUUGUAUAAAACUAAAGUGUGUUUCAGGAAAGUAUAAUUUAUAAGUCUAUACGAGUUUUGUCAAACAUAUGGAUACAGUUAUACAGUAUUAUACAGGAUAUAAGAUAGAAUAAAUAUUAAACCUGGAAUGACAUUUGUAGCAAUAUAUAAUGGAAAAACUUGGUCUGUUGGGAAAACUAUUGGGUAUAUAAACAUUGAAUGUAACAACAUGACAAGUCUCUUACAUUAUACUGUUUCUAGAGGCAGAAGACAAAAGAUGUUGAAUGUGACAGCUGUAAAUGCUAGAAAUGUAAGCAGUAGGCUACAUGACUGAUUUCCAAAACAAAUGAUAGGCACUGGAUUACAUUUCUGUGCGGAAGGAUUAAAAAACUACACCAGACUGGUGGCCAUGACAGAUGUCAGUGGGAAAUCUAAACAUGGACUAGAUACUUUGAUGUGUAGCAAAAAAGUUCAUCGUUGAUGAUGGUGUUUUUCUGUGAUAUAUUGACUGGGAUAGUAUUACUCUUCAGAAAUACAGAGCUGUCAAUGCUGCAAGUUUGUUGUGAAAUUCACAAUCCAUGUCCAAAAGUGCUUGUUUUACUAUACAGCAAAGAAGGAGAAAUUGUACUGGGCCGACACCUAUAUGGCAAAUUCAGAAUGUGGAAUAUCUCAGCCACUAUAGGGUUUACAGUCAUGAAACUUCACACACUAGUAGCUGAUAACAAUACAAAUCAGUGGCUAAAAGGAUAUUUCCAAGGCGAUGAAUUCCAUACGUCAGUAGGAAUUUAGAAUCAUACAACCAGUCAGCAGCUACCCAUAAACCAGACCAACCUAUUAAGUCGAGUGGGCAGAAGCUGUGAUUCCCAGUGUAACACCGCAGAAAGACGGCUAGUUUUCGGAUUACAUUUCUGUGCGGAAGGAUUAAAAAACUACACCAGACUGGUGGCCAUGACAGAUGUCAGUGGGAAAUUUAAACAUGGACUAGAUACUUUGAUGUGUAGCAAAAAAGUUCAUCGUUGAUGAUGGUGUUUUUCUGUGAUAUAUUGACUGGGAUAGUAUUACUCUUCAGAAUUACAGAGCUGUCAAUGCUGCAAUUUUGUUGUGAAAUUCACAAUCCAUGUCCAAAAGUGCUUGUUUUACUAUACAGCAAAGAAGGAGAAAUUGUACUGGGCCGACACCAUGGUAUCUCAACAUAUAGUAGAUUCACCGUGAUACAUUGUACAUGUAGCUGGUCAGAUCAUACAAGAAUGUUGAGACAUGGAUAGUUGGCUUCCUGCGAAGAAGAAUGUAUAAUGUAACACCUGCAGCCAGAGAAUUCGGAGAAAGGGAUCAGCUCAAAGAACAUUGGAGGGGUCUGAUGACAAUAUUGAUAUAGGAUAUGAAGGUGAUCUACAACAUGAUUCUACAACUGCCAAUGAACUUCGGAUGAAGAGCUGGAGGGGAGUGGAGUGAGCAGAUUGCAGUACAGUCAAACCUGUCUAUAAAGACCACCCUUGGGAGAGCCAAAUGUUAUCUUUAUUGGGAGGUGGCCAUUAUUCACAGGUUAAGAUAUAUUGUAAAUGUUAAAAUGGGAAACAAAACAUGUUCUUUAGAGCCAGGUGGUCUCUGUUCAGAAGUGGUCUUUAACACGGGUUUGACUGUAUACACAUCAGUGGGAGUGGAACAGGCAGAUUUCAAUACAUACUUCAUCAGUGGGAAAAGCACAAUGAAGUUCAGCUGUUUCCAGCUUGAAACACAUGAGGUUGAAGUUGCAAGGAGAGACUGAUGGAAAAUGACAGUGACUGGACAGACAAUGAUGAUGGUGAAGAACUAUAGAAAACUGUGGAAAACUUUUAAUAGUGGACCUCAACAAGCAGACAUUGAUUCCAGUAUUCCAGACAAUGUAUCCCUCUCGUUAACUUUAAAGCAGGACUUGCACUGUCAUGUGGGGGAAAAACAUGAAAUGGAGACGAUCACUUACCAGCCUACACAGUUGACUUGAGAAGAAAUUUCUUACCAGUCAGGAAUUGGCCAAAAAGAAUGUUGAUACUGAUACAACUUCCUCGUAGCAACUUCAGUCCUACAGAUUUAUAAGGGGAGGCAACAAUUAUCACUAUUGACCUGGAAACCAUUGACCUAAUUAAGUAUGGGAAGAUGCCACAUGUCACACAAAGCCGCAUACCACAACAAAGUGUUGUAGCACAGAUAUCUGUGUCACAACUAAAAAGGAAAUUUCUCCAGAGGCACAAAGGAUCACCAGGAUUGCAUGGAAUAUUCAGACACAAUGACGAUAAAAAGCACAAUAGUCCAACACAUCUGUACCUGGAAUUAAGUCGACUGUAGAGAAAUUGUGUACUUGGCUUGAAAAGAUCCUAAAGUGUUAUAGAAGACAAUUUGAUUUUCCAGUUCUUGUCUUAGCUCUGCUGUGCACAAAAACAACUAGGACAUUAUUCAGCUGAGUUUCUUCUUAAAAGUAUUCUUUUACCAGUGUUCAAGAAACUGUAUCCUAAACAGUCAUACUUGCUAUGACACUACUUGGUAUCUGGUACAAUGCCUAUAACUGACAGACAGACAAAUUUAUUAUGAAACACUGGGAAUUUUCAAGCAGUGACAUAUACUCAUGAUAAAUUUGGUACCAUAAUGUUCAUUAUCGUAAGUAAAAAAUGACAGCUGUAAUUGGAAAUUCGAAUUGUAUUUUACUCUAUAUUUAAGAAAAUUAAUAUAUUCAAACUUGUAAAUUUUUUUCAUUUGUUAAAAUGUUAUAUCAUAGCUUUAAGCCUUAAUGCCCUCUUUUUACAAUCUGCCUAAAGAAACACUUUAGUUGUUCUUGUUUAUUAUUUAGCCAUUUUCUUGAUUAAAAAUACACAACAAACGUCUAGCUCAAGACUUUCCAAGGUUGACAAGUUUUUACUUUCUUUGACUUUGCUUAAGUUUGUCAAUUAUUAGUAAUACUUUUGUUCAAAAUUUAAUGAGGUGUAAAACCUUUAAAUAAUAUCCUUAAGCAACAGAUGUUAUGUUUUAAUAGUAAAGUAAGGAGGAGACAACCUUUACUGUAAGCUAAUGUAGCUUUCUGUCCAAUGCCUGAAAUGUUUUUUUUGUAAAUACUUCAUGACUUUCUGAAUAAAAGUGUAUAUAAACCCCAAACUUCUAAGGAGCAAGAAGACAAAAUUUCAUUUUAUCUCGUGUAUAAAAUUAAAUUUGUGAUAUUUUUCUUAGUGAUAAGUUUCUCAGUGAUAACUAGACAUUUAAUUUUAUAUCUGUAUAGAUUUUUGUACAGUUAAUUUAGGUGUAGACAAGACAAUAUUUAUAAAGACUUUUAUACCCCCAACAUCUACUGAUGCGGGAGGCAUAUAGUGAUUGUCCUGUCUGUUCGUCCAUUUGUCCGUCUGUAUGAGGUUAACCAAAUGGGACUGUUACGUCUAGCAUCAAUACCUCUAACUAGAAUGACUUGAUACUAAUGCAGAUGUAAGCUGUGACCAUUCCUCAUCUUCAGACAUCACCUGACCUUAGUUUGACCUUGACCUUGAACUUUACCUCGUUUUGGAUUUACGUUACUUCGUUUCGACAAGGAUGCCACCGGGGGCAUCAAGCGUUUAUUGAACGCAGCUCCUUGUUUUUUAUGUUUUAAGCUACCUAAUUAUCUAUAUUAGAGAAAACUGUUAAAUUUUAAUUACUUUAUAAGCGAGCGUACAUGUAAAUCCUAUUUCACUAUACUUACAUAUUAUUGAAAGCUAAGGGACUCCAUUGGAAAUAAGUGACAUUGUUACUUUCAUGGUUUAUCCCAGGCAGAAAGAUCAUCAUUUUUUUCCUGAUGUUUAUGUAUUAGCUUGAUUACACUUGUAAAGUACAAACAUAUAAAGGGCUUACUGCAUAUUUAUUAAUUCUAAUAUUUUUUUUAUUUCUGUACCACUUUGUAUUUCUGUUAGAAUUGAACCUUAUAUCUGAAUAAAAUUGAAUUGAAUUGAACUGAAUUGCAUUUUAAAUGAAACUGAAUUGAACUGAAUUCUAAACUGAACUGAAUUUGAAACAGAAACUGAACUGAAUUUUAAACUGAAACUGAACUGAACUGAAUAAAGCUGGGUAAAAAACUACAGUACAGCUUGCAGAGAGCACCAAAAGGAAGGAAAAAUCAUGUUCUGUGUAUGCAACAUAGUUUGUUCUUUGAUAACAUAAAAAAAGGAACUGAAAAAGUGGUCUCUUAAUGCAAGUAGUCUCUAAAUCAAAUGUACUUGAUGAAACUUAGUAUGCUUUUGUGCUGCACAUUUUGUAAUGUAGUUUUGUGUCUAUGAUGAUUUCUUUAAAUAAACUUUAAACAUUA